CAAGAACAUCUUUAUUUGUUUGAAAGUAACGGUUUAACUACUGAAACACUUCUAAUGGAAUACCACUUUUCCCACAAUGGAAAACCAUCUUGUUUGCUGACCAAUAAACUCACAUUCAGUUUGGCUUCAGUCACAUUGUAAACUUGCACAUUGCCCUUGCAAGUGGAUGUGUCUGUAAAUGAUGGCGUGUCCACGCUUGUUCUCACAAAUGUUGCUGAACUGAACUGAACUGAACUGUCCAGUCCGUUUACACAACAGUUUUUUAAAACCCUCUGACUAUCAUCACAGUGGCCACUGGAUAUGUGACCGCCGCUGUUUACACACCAGAGCUGUGAUUUGAAACUUCCUGUCUCUCACAGAGGCAGCGUUAACUGGUAGGUGACCUACAAACGACCUCUGCACCGGAAUGCAACACGUACAGAAGCUUAGAACUUAGAUCUUAGAACACGGGUGUAUUUAUAUCAGCAACAGUAAAUAAAGCCAACAGAAUUCUACUUUCAGAAAUGAUAUCUAUAAUUCUGAGAAAACAGAAGACCAGACUGAAUACAGUUCAUGUUGUUUAAAUGAUAUCUCUAAUUAUGAGAGAACAGAAGACCAGACUGAGUACAGUUCAUAUUGUGUGAAUUAUAUCUCUAAUUCUGAGAAAACAGAAUACCAGACUGAGUACAGUUCAUAUUGUGUGAAUUAUAUCUCUAAUUAUGAGAUAACAGAAGACCAGACUGAGUACAGUUCAUAUUGUUUAAAUGAGUAGUUUGGCACAGACCUGCCCAGACGCGGUUCUGCACAGAGAGUGCACCGAGUGGAACAGGAAACUGGGGCUGCCGCUUUAUUUUCAAAAGUACAUCACACAGUAAUUAUGCUCCGAGUCACCAUGGCAACAGUGUCAAUCCCCAAGACCCGCCCGCUCACCUCGGCCGAGUGAGACGGAGACCAAGAUGAGCAUUUCAUCAUCGGAGGAAUAUAAGUAUAAGGCCGCCAACAUUUCAUGAAAACCGCAAGUUUGAAGUUCAUUUGACAACCAAAUGUCUCUCGUCUUCUUCCACAGAAGUUCCAGAACGUUCAGAAGCAGAGAGGACUGCACCUGCCUGGCGGACGCGGACUGGGAGGAGACCUCCGCUGUGGACUACAGGCAGACAGGCCGUCUGGACAGACAGGCUGACCAGGGCUGUCUGUUACUCUCUCACUCCCUCCCUCUAUAGAACAGGAGAGAGAGGAGAGAGAGGAGAGACCCCGUCCCCAACUCCUCCUGAAGCUCCAGUCUCUUUUACAAUUCAACACAAGUCCCACGACCCCCCCCACCCCCCAAUGAGACCCCGGCCUCC
ensembl:lncRNA